rnacentral:lncRNA from 1 species
CUCGUCAAACAUCACACAUUCAUCUCAGUACAUAAAUAGAGGAGCAGAAGUUAAGGUGGUGUUGGGUUUGUGGUAAUGAUGCCGGUAUUAUGACUCGAGAAGGCAGAAGACCGGUGUAUGCCGUCAGGCACACGUGUUCCAUCGGAAUUGCCAUGGCUGAAACUGAGGACUUCCUGGCAUGGCUGCAGGCUCAAGGUCUGAGAGCAGAGACUGCAUUUGGUGUGAUUACUGAACUGGGCAUUGAGAGUCAAACGGUGCUUCGUAUCUGCACAGAGUCUGCUUUGUUGAGAUCUGAACUAUACUCACUCCUCAAGGAGAAGUUUGCCUUUGCCAUGUACGCUGAGGUUCGGUGUUUUGUGGAGUCACAGUAUCAUUGCCAAGGUCAUGGUCUUGCAAAUUUGGUACUGGUGGAUGUCCUGUGCUCCAUGUUGAAUGCUGUCAGCCAGGAGUUCACUAACUGUGCGCAGAGGUUAAGGUACUUGGGCCUUCACUCAGAUGAUGCCGAUAGUGAUGGCUUGGAGCAAAAGAGUACUGCUGAGAACUUUAGCAGUACGAGUGAGAACAUCUGCACCUUUCAUCCUCAACAGGAGAUGAGUGUGACAUCUGAACCCAGUAUGAAAUGUGACUUCUUCAUUCUUCAUAGGAUUUAACUGGCACAGUGUUUUAAAUUGUACCUAAAGUAUACCCCCCCACACCUCCACUCUCAGUUGUUUAAGUGACUGUUCUUAUUACCUCCUACAUUCCUCUCUUCCCUCUGUGAGCUGUCUAUAUUCAAAGAGAAAUCUUUGUCACAGUACUCUUGCUGCUUUUUCAAACCCUUCCACCUUUUGCAGGUAUGGUAGAGAUGAAGAUUGAACAUGAAGAUGAUGAAGGUAGUGUUCACGAUCCUCAGUCACAGCAUUAUUGUUGUUGGCCCAUGAUGGAAAUUGUUUUUGUUUUUGUAGACUGCUGGAGUUAUCUGGAUGUUUUUCUUGAGUCUUACCUUGGUUAGCCUCACCCUUGUAAACCGAACAUUUGGAUAACCCCCACCCUCCUCCUUCCCCAUGAUUAUGGUUGAUGAUGCACAUUUUAAUUGUGGAUUUUAAAGUGGAAUAUAUCCUUUGAGAUGUGGUUCGCGUUGUGGGGUUUUCCAUGCUUCCCAGGGCUCUGUGGAGAGAUGCAGCUCGAGGUCGAAGGAACAAACGGUUCAACUUGUACCUCAAAAGGCAAGCUCUUUGCUUUUGUACAACAUUAUUCUUCUGACAUUGUAUAACAUGGCAGAAAAACUGUGUUUAUAAUCCAUUAAUUAUUUUUGC